ensembl:lncRNA
GCUCGUCGCUUCCGUGACGUCUUUGUCCACGUGAGCUUCAUUCAGCUGAGCGCUGCAAGGAUGAAUGGCUGGGGUUUGUUUAAACGAUCUUAUGUUUAAUAUGUUUUCUGCUCACAAAUGUUGUAAGUGUCUUGUAUGUGUAACUCCUGUUUGUUGCUCCCUGGUGUUCUGAGUCGCGUGCAUGCAGUGAAAGCGCACAUCCAUCCGGAUGAAGCUGCACAAACACAUCUGAUGAGACAUAAACGCUCAUUUAACGCAGUGAUCAUUUUUUUCCCGAGCCAUUCAGUGCGGUUUAUAUAACCAUGCCUGGGUUCGGCGUCAUGAAACCAUCACUUGUUCGUGAAAUCACGCCAUAUAUUUGUGUAGCAGAGUGAAGUCCUGGAAUGCUCGAGUGCGGGGGUGUCUGGGGUGGAAGAUGGAAACGUUGGAAAAAUGGAGCAGAGACAUCAUGGCACCUCAUCAGCUGGAUAAGAAAGCGCAGUCCAAACAAAAUGGCAUGAUUGCAAAGAAUCUGCUCAACUCUCUCAAGAUUCGCAAUCAUUUGCAGCUCCAGCCAAUUUCUCGUUCAGCAUGUGCCACUGGCUCUUGUCCAGAUCUGAUGAGUAGGAACGAGCAGCCUGACUCCCGGCCGCUUGCCGUGGCCCUGACGCCCCAGCUACCCCCCAGGACCCAUCGGCCCCUGUGUCUCUCAGUGUCCUCUGACAGCAAUGGACGCUUCAAAGCUCUGGAGACCCAGGAAUGGAAGAACAACCUCAAAGCUCAGAUGGAGCAGGCCCAUAGUGCUGGAGCAGCCAGCAGCACAGGUUCCCUGGAAAGAGCAUCUCUCUUUUGCGCUUCUGGCUCCACCACCACCUCCAGCUCUGGCCUCUCCAGUCCGGUGGAGCACCUCACCAAGAGCAAGUCCUCUAGUCGCUUUUCACUCUUCUCCCCACCUUGGAACAGCAGCUCUGAGUCUGACUCCAAUCCACCUUCCCGCUCCGGAUCUAAGAAAAUGCGCAACUACAGUCGCAGAACUGGUCCUGGCAGUGCCAAAACAGGCCCAGAGACUCCAGAACCCAAGCAGAGCGUCCCUGAGCACUUCCAGUACUCAGAACCGGUCAUAUCGAAGGUAACAGACUACAUUUAUGUGGGAAACCUGAACGCGGCUUAUAGCGGACGCACGUUGUGCCGCAAUAAUAUCGACAGUAUUAUCGACAUGAGCAGCCUGCCCGGGGAGACUUGUUUGAGAGUCAUUCCUUGCACUUGUUCAAGGGGUGUCAAGCAUAGUUGGUCUCGGCUCAAAGUGGACAUAAGCGACCUUCCGGACACAGUCCAAGAAGGGCUGGCACUCAAGCAUCGCUGCUUCGAUGACAUCAAUGAGUGUAUUGAUGCCUCCACGGAGAAGAGGAAGCGAGUGCUGGUGCAUUGUCGUGAUGGUUUUUCCCUCGCACCCACUUGCAUUAUUCAGUACCUCAUGGUCAAACAAAAUAUGAGGCUUAUUGCCGCCUACGAGCUGCUCAGAGCCAAACACCCGGUCAACAUUCGUGAAUCCCAUCAGAACGUUCUGGUAAGUCUCGAAAGAGCUCUGAGACCGGGUGGGAACACGGACCCUGAGUGCUUUAAACAGGCAAUCUCUCGAAAAGUGGCUUGGACCUGAUAGCGAACCUUGAGGAACCUCACUUUUAUUUGAGCGUUUUGUAGUUUGUACAUUUUUUUUUUUUUUUUAUAUUAUUUCCUUUGUUAACAGUGAAAGGCAGUUUUUUUUGUGUUUUAACUGAGCUGGAUGUCAUGGUGUGAGUACUAACUGUGAAAAUUUACUUUAAGUUGUUCACUGGCCAUUUUAGCAAAACAAACCCUAAGAAUUUGAGUCAUUCGUUUUGCUUCUGGCUAAACAAAACAAGAACAAACAUGCUUUGUACAGCUGCUAAACAAUGAGUUUUGUCUGGGAAUAUAUCUCCUGUUUUUUCUUCUUCACGUGGGUACAUAGCCAUGCUGUGCAGGUUUAUGCUGAGGAAGAAGUUAGUGGGAGCUCUCAGGAGAUGAAACAAUGUCAUAUAUGGCUGCAAACACCACUACUGAGGCUGAAACGUCAAACUGGAGUACUAUAGCAACUAAACAUCUCAAACACUCUGAGGACAAAUUGAGGACUAAACAUGAUUAAUCACUGAAUCUGGCAGUACAUAGCACAACCUUUGUUGGCCUCCUUAUUCAUUUGACAGUUGUUUGAUAUUUCUCUGUGUUUAACCAGGGUUUGAAAGAUGCACAGUAAGAGUAGUCCUCUAUGAGGAGACAUUUCAUUUACUAGGUUAAGUGUCUUUUAUUAAAUGUGUAAUAUUCAACAUGUUUGAUCAAAUAAUUCAGUGCUUGGAAACAAUGUGAAUUUUGUGAUCUUGUAAAGCAUUGAAAUUGGCCCACUUUAUAACUUUUAUGGAGUGUUGGUAUUUGGAAAAUGAAUUAAACAGAGUUGUGGAGCAAUGCUCAAUUGCAAAGGCUUGAUAUUGCACUAACCACAAGGAAAUGCACAAGUUUUGCUGAAACGUGGCUUAGUUUGAUUUAAUGUUGCGCAGUGAAUAUAGAUCAAAAUAUUUUUAUUACGAUAAUGUUUAUGCUUAUCUAUUAUGAUUGUUGUUCCAUGGUUUCUAUUGUAUUUUGAUUUAGCCAUUUAGAAAAAUGUAACAACCCUGACAGCAAAUGUAUGUCACUGAGACAUCUUGAAUGCGUGCAUUUUCAUUUAAGAGCAUUAGCUAGUUUACAGUAUGUACACCUAGUUUGUAAUAAAAGUGACCAAUGCAACAAAGAUAGAUAGCUGUCAUUAUAAUCAAUGGAUAUAUUGUUGAUUAUAAUGUGAUCAAUCUAGUUUUGUCACUUUGCAACACGUUGUUUGCUUUUAGUGUAGAUUGGAAUGUUUUCUGCAACAUUUAUGUUUUCAAGUUUAUAGUAAUCUGCUGUUGUUCUGACGUCCGCACACAAAUAUAAUGUGUCUUGGUGACGUACAUGUGCUUAAGGGGAAAUAUAUUUAACAUGGCUUAUACUUAUCAGCAGUGAUUCUUCUGUUUUGAUAUUUAGUGCUCAGUUUGGUGAAGAAAGACCCUCCUAAGUUUUGGUGCCUUUCGUUUGAACUCGUCCAGUGUGAUUAUUGUGACAUUCACACGCGCACACUGUAUGCACUCAUCAGGUAUAGACAAAAUGUCGUCCUUAUGCUUUGACAUGUUCAGGAAAUGCUCCAUGUUGGUGUAAUUUUGUGAUGUAUGGCAGAGAUCAGUUUCAUCUGAGGUUUCAUAGCAGUGCUCACAGUGAACAGUGCCUGUAUUUCAAUUAGUGUGGUGGUGACGUCAAUCAGUGUGAUCAUUACCUUCUUCUACGGGCCUGCAAUUAGCUUCUGACAUUAGGAAAGCUGUAUUUAGAUUCAAAUAGAACAUUUAUUGUUGGUUUAUUCUUAUUCAUUAGCCUAUUUAAAUCUAUAUUUUUGGAUGGUUGAUCUUGCCCUGUAAAGGUCUAACAACAUGAACUCUCAGGUUAAAUUUAUUGGCCUAGAAAACAUUCUCAAUGCGUUAGAAACCAGAAUAAUGUGAGGCAAUGUAUUUUCUGUAUAACGUUUUUGCAGAAACUGCAUUUGUACAUGUUGAUAUUAAAGAGAAUCUGAUGCACUGACUUUCUUGUCAUGUAUGAUUUGUUCCAAUAGCAAAUGUGCUUUGUGAAUCUUGGAAAAAAUAUUUUAGCAAUUUUAGCAAGAGGCUACGUAAG